rnacentral:lncRNA from 1 species
GGGACAUCACAAAUGGGGUUAAUGCCCCUAUUAAAGAGGUCCCAGAAAGCAGCCUUGUUUCUUCCACCAUGUUAGGACACGGUGAGAAGUCAACAUGAAAAACCAGAAAUCGGGCCCUCACCAGACCCUGAAUCUACUGGAGCCUUGAUCUUGAACUUCCCAGCCCCCAGAACUAAAACAUGAGUACACAGACUUCUCUAGCCAGCUUGAAAACAUGCUGGGCGAUUUAUCUGGCAACAACAUGUUGAAUGGAGUAUUCAUAUUAUUACCAUAAUCAGGUCACUUGGCUGAAGUUGGUACCAUGACGGAUUUGUAGCUGCUAUUAGAGAUGCCACUCAAGGCAGAGAAAAUGCAAUUCUUGACUUGAGAUGAAUCAGUUCCCCAAUUUAUACUUCAUUCGUGGAAACUGGGUCUUGGGCAACAUCUCAGCAAUUCCUUCCAAUCUGAAGUUCUCUCAUCUGCUGGUAACCGGUCCAUUCCUAUUGGCGUUCAAGCAAUCACAAACACAUCCUACUUUUGAGAAAUGUUCCAAAGGAGGAGUCAAAGCGGCUGUAAUCUUGAUUCGGUUUUAUGGGCAAUAGAAUUAUUUUACUGAUUCCUGGAAUCAUGGCUCCUAUACAUCUGCACUCUAUGAGCACUUUGGAAAUUAAAGGAUUGCCAGCUUUUCCACUUUGGGACAAAAAACAUUUGUGCUAAACAGCCGGAAAAAGCAAAUGCCAGUGUUAAUCAAACCAGCAUGGAAGUUAAUUAGAACCUCAAGAACAAGCGGAUGGGCUUAGCACCUUGGACACAUCAAUAUCUUGUUUCUAAAGAUGACCUCAAAAGAUUGCAUAACAAUAAAGCCCAGCACAAGUCAGAAAGUCAAUCUACUGAGGUCCUACAAUUCUCUUCAUUGACCUGAACAAACUCGACUCUGCUUUUCCCUUAAAUUUCUGUACAGAACCCUGACAACUCGUCUAUACUUUCUGUUAUUGAUUUCCCCCAUGCGCCUAAGUUUCUUAUGACUUCUGGAUUCUCCUUUUGGCUUUGCAGAACACCCCUACUUCCAAACUCUAGAGUAAAAUUCCUGUGAAGACUGAUACCUCAGAAGUGACUGCUUCACAGAUAGACAUCUAAUUUUUUAAUUGAGAUUUCAACUAUUUAACACUUACCGUGUUAACUCAUGACACUCUCCUCCAUUUGCUCAUAAACAACAAAACAAUAACAAAAAUGAAUGCUCACUGAGUGCUACAGAAUGCAAACUAUUAAAGAUACAGAAAUAAUGAAUAGGACUUCUGACCUUGAGUGGUUGGUAAAUAAAACAGAAAUAUAAAAAAUGAAAUAAAUAAUUAGGGUUACUGCCACUAGAGAAACAGAUCACAGGCUACAGAUUACUACUGGCCCUAUGAAGCAGGAAGACAGCACAGGUAUAGCAAGGGACCUUUUAUAUGUAGGUAGAACCUUAUUGUAGGUAAUGGUGAAAGCCAGUGAGCCCUUGCUCUGGGCUGCUCUGGUGAAUUGGCACUCCCUUCACUGUUUCGCUGACUAGACCUCAAGUACCCUCCAUGAGAGACUAGGGAGGCCUUGUGGAGCUGUGUCCUGUUUUCUACUUGCAUGAAUUAUUUGCAUUGCUUGUUUGUGAGUUUUAGCAAAAUAAACUGAAUGCAGACAAUGCCAUGUCCAAGUAAUCUUGCUUGGCAAUGUUUGAAUCUCUAUCAGACUUUGCUGCUGCUUACUUUAUUCCUUCUCCCAGUUCAACCCCAGAAAAGACACAGGAGUUAAAUGACAAAAAGUGUGGGUCUGAAGAACUAAAUCAAGACUGUUAGAAAACACUGGGCAGAGAGAGGUGGUUUUGUGCUUGUAUGGAGA